rnacentral:rRNA from 1 species
UACAGAGGGUGCGAGCGUUAAUCGGAAUUACUGGGCGUAAAGCGCGCGUAGGCGGCUUUGCAAGUCGGGUGUGAAAUCCCCAGGCUCAACCUGGGAACUGCAUUCGAGACUGCAUUGCUAGAGUAUGGGAGAGGGAAGUGGAAUUUCCGGUGUAGCGGUGAAAUGCGUAGAUAUCGGAAGGAACAUCAGUGGCGAAAGCGACUUCCUGGACCAAUACUGACGCUGAGGAGCGAAAGCUAGGGGAGCAAACGGG